rnacentral:rRNA from 1 species
GACGAACGCUGGCGGCGUGCCUAAUACAUGCAAGUAGAACGCAGUUGCGAACGGGUGAGUAACGCGUAGGUAACUUCCUCAUCGCGGGGGAUAACUCUUGGUAACGCUAGCUAAUACCUCAUACUUUGAGUUGGAUCUGCGUUGUAUUAGGCAGUUGGUGAGGUAAAUGGUCACCAAGGCGACGAUACAUAGCCGACCUGAUAGGGGGAACGGGCAAACUGGGACUGAGACACGGGCCAGGAUCCUACGGGAGGCAGCAGUAGGGAAUCUUCGGAAAUGGAAGGAAGGCGGACCGAGCAACGCCCGGUGAGUGAAGAAGGUUUUCGGAUCGGAAAGCUCUGUUGGUAGAGAAGCGGUAACUAACCAGAAAGGGACGGCGAACUACGUGCCAGCAGCCGCGGUAAUAC